rnacentral:rRNA from 1 species
UUCGGGCCCUUGGCGGCUAAUCAGAUUGAGCCCUAGGUUCGGAAUAGCUAGUUGGGUGAGGUAAUGGCUCACCCAGGCGACGAUCCGUAACUGUUCUGAGAGGAUGAUCAGUCACACUGGAACUGAGACACGGUCCAGACUCCUACGGGAGGCAGCAGUGGGGAAUAUUGCACAAUGGGCGAAAGCCUGAUCCAGCCAUGCCGCGUGUGUGAAGAAGGUCUUCGGAUUGUAAAGCACUUUAAGUUGGGAGGAAGGGCAUUAACCUAAUACGUUAGUGUUUUGACGUUACCGACAGAAUAAGCACCGGCUAACUCUGUGCCAGCAGCCGCGGUAAUACAGAGGGUGCAAGCGUUAAUCGGAAUUACUGGGCGUAAAGCGCGCGUAGGUGGUUUGUUAAGUUGAAUGUGAAAUCCCCGGGCUCAACCUGGGAACUGCAUCCAAAACUGGCAAGCUAGAGUAUGGUAGAGGGUGGUGGAAUUUCCUGUGUAGCGGUGAAAUGCGUAGAUAUAGGAAGGAACACCAGUGGCGAAGGCGACCACCUGGACUGAUACUGACACUGAGGUGCGAAAGCGUGGGGAGCAAACAGGAUUAGAUACCACUGGUAGUCCACGCCGUAAACGAUGUCAACUAGCCGUUGGGAGCCUUGAGCUCUUGAGUGGCGCAAGCUAACGCAUUAAGUUUACCGCCUGCGGAGUACGUCAGUCAUA